rnacentral:rRNA from 1 species
AAUUUUAUGCAAUGCGAGCAAGCCUGACAGAGCAAUACCGCGUGAGGGAAGAAAGCCCACAGGGUUGUGAACGUCUUUUAUCAAGGAAGAAGUUCUGACGUUAGUCGAUGAAUAAGCAUAGGCUAACUCCGUGCCAGCACCCGCGGUAAGACGGGGGAUGCAAGUGUGAUCCGGAAUCACUGGGCGUAAAGCGUUUGUAGGUGGUUUAGUAAGUCUUUUGUUAAAGCUUGAAGCUUAACUUCAAAAAUGUGAUAGAAACUACUAGACUCGAGGAUAGUAGGGGUAAAGGGAAUUUCCAGUGGAGCGGUGAAAUGAGUAGAGAUUGGAAGGACCACCACGGGCGACGGCACUUUACUGGUCUAUAUAGAUCAAUACGAGACGAAAGCUAGGGUAGCGAAAAGCUUAUUUACCCCAGUAGUCCCUACUCCA